GUCGUAGCUCAUUGGUAGACCAUCUGCUUUGCAUUCAGAAGGCCCUUGGUCCAAUUCCCAGCAUCUCCA